CCUUAGCUAGUCACUCAAAGCUCUCCAGUUACACCAGCAGUGUACCAAAAACCAUCUUUCAGAAAUCUUUUUACACUCCACUGCAUUCACAUUUUACUUACCCCUUUCAGUCACAAUUCCCUGGGGUCUUCCCAGCUGCACUGCUGGGCAUUGCUGCCACCAAGCUCCAGUUCCCUCAGAUCCUACUCACUCAGGCUCUUUUAAGUCAUCUUGAUCUGAGUGGGGUCUCUCACAGCACCUGGUACAUCGGUUUCUUCCUCCUAUCCUAUGUCAUCACCCUGAGAUUCCUAAAUUCUUGUGAGAUGUUGCCAUGACUAAAACAUUCCCACUGCCUAUUGGAUGAUCAUGAAGCAUUCAGAACAGAAAAGAAAGUCAUAAAUGCUUUACAUAAGAGGUGGCACCUUAGGGCUUGAACAUGCAACCUGAGUCUUAUGAGCACUAAAAUAGCUGAUGAACAUGCUCCAAUACCAGGGAAAAGACAAAGGGAGAAGAGGCUGAUGCCCACCUGGCUGCACCCUCCUUUCAGGUGGUUGUAGAGAGUGAUAAAUUCUCCUCCAGGCUAAAGAAUCCCAGCUCCCUCAGCUGCUCUGGGCCUACCCAUCCUAACCCAGCAAAGGUCCCUUCUGUCCAAGCUGUGAGCUGCCAGCUUUUCCAGGAGGGUGCUGUGGGAGAUGGUGUUGAAGGCUUUG